rnacentral:rRNA from 1 species
AGAGUUUGAUCCUGGCUCAGGAUGAACGCUGGCGGCGUGCCUAACACAUGCAAGUCGAGCGAGAUGCUUCUGAUAGAUUCUUCGGAUGAUAGAUGAAGCGGAAAGCGGCGGACGGGUGAGUAACGCGUAGGCAACCUGCCCUUUGCAGAGGGAUAGCCUCGGGAAACCGGGAUUAAAACCUCAUAAUGCGACUGGAAGACAUCUUCCGGUCGCCAAAGAUUUAUCGGCAAAGGAUGGGCCUGCGUCUGAUUAGUUAGUUGGUGAGGUAACGGCCCACCAAGCCGACGAUCAGUAGCCGACCUGAGAGGGUGAUCGGCCACAUUGGGACUGAGACACGGCCCAAACUCCUACGGGAGGCAGCAGUGGGGAAUAUUGGGCAAUGGGGGGAACCCUGACCCAGCAACGCCGCGUGGAGGAAGAAGGUUUUCGGAUCGUAAACUCCUGUCCUCAGGGAAGAGCAGAAGACGGUACCUGAGGAGGAAGCCCCGGCUAACUACGUGCCAGCAGCCGCGGUAAUACGUAGGGGGCAAGCGUUGUCCGGAAUGAUUGGGCGUAAAGGGCGCGUAGGCGGCUCGUUAAGUCUGGAGUGAAAGUCCUGCUUUCAAGGUGGGAAUUGCUUUGGAUACUGAUGAGCUUGAGUGCAGGAGAGGUAAGUGGAAUUCCCAGUGUAGCGGUGAAAUGCGUAGAGAUUGGGAGGAACACCAGUGGCGAAGGCGACUUACUGGACGAUAACUGACGUUGAGGCUCGAAAGCGUGGGGAGCAAACAGGAUUAGAUACCCUGGUAGUCCACGCCGUAAACGAUGACUACUAGGCGUUGGGUAGCAAAGCUAUUCGGUGCCGCAGCAAACGCAAUAAG